rnacentral:rRNA from 1 species
AUUGAACGCUGGCGGCAUGCCUUACACAUGCCAGUCGAAUGGCAGCACGGGUGCUUGCACCUGGUGGCGAGUGGCGCACGGGUGAGUAAUACAUCGGAACAUGUCCUGUAGUGGGGGAUAGCCCGGCGAAAGCCGGAUUAAUACCGCAUACGAUCUACGGAUGAAAGCGGGGGCCCUUCGGGCCUCGCGCUAUAGGGUUGGCCGAUGGCUGAUUAGCUAGUUGGUGGGGUAAAGGCCUACCAAGGCGACGAUCAGUAGCUGGUCUGAGAGGACGACCAGCCACACUGGGACUGAGACACGGCCCAGACUCCUACGGGAGGCAGCAGUGGGGAAUUUUGGACAAUGGGCGAAAGCCUGAUCCAGCAAUGCCGCGUGUGUGAAGAAGGCCUUCGGGUUGUAAAGCACUUUUGUCCGGAAAGAAAUCCUUGGUACGAAUACGGUCGGGGGAUGACGGUACCGGAAGAAUAAGCACCGGCUAACUACGUG